UCCCUGGUAGCUCAGACGGUAAAGCGUCUGCCUGCAAUGCGGGAGACCUGGGUUUGAUCCCUGGGUCGGGAA
rnacentral:tRNA from 1 species